AAUUUCCUGUCACCUGCGUGCGGUGGAUGAAUGCUAGCAAUGGCACUGGGGUGGGCACAGCCUUCUGCUCCCUCCCUAAUUCAUCAGAUGUGCCCCGGGUACUCCAGAGCCAGAACAAGCCAUAGAGACGUUCUAAGGGGUUGGGAUGGACAGUCUCAAUGACCCCUUCAACACUGCAGGAUCCUGUGAGAUUCAAAGCAACGUUCAAGUCAACCAUGAUGCAAAAUGUUUCUGCAGUUGAAAUUUGGCUUUUGGGGACACCCCCAAGUGUUGUGUGUUUUGAUGACGAUUUCUCAAACCAGCAGUAAACUUCCUAUAUGCAUUUAAAAUAAUAAAAUCUGAGAGCCACAAAGGAA